rfam:Poecilia formosa, whole genome shotgun sequence.
UGGAAAUGAGGAAAAAGUGCAAUUCUUGAGUUCUCCAUGAAGACUUCUAAUCCAACUCUGAUCCAAACCCUUUA